rnacentral:lncRNA from 1 species
ACGCUCAUGUAUCAAGGCUGUGUGCCUCACACAGCCACCAGACACACCCAUGUGUCUAAGCCGUGCUUGAGACUGACUUGAAUAACUAAAUUACAGAAGACACACAGUCGAGACACGCGCCCGUGUGCUCAACUGUGUGGGGUAAAAUUAGGCUUGGUUUAAGCCACAUUUCCCACCUAUCUCAAGCACACCAAGUCCACAACAUUUUUGCAUCAUUUGCAUACAUUUAUAGGCAACCAAU